rnacentral:misc_RNA from 1 species
AGAAGCUUGUUCGGGACCUUGUUCG